rnacentral:rRNA from 1 species
UAAUCUACCUUACAGUUCGGAAUAACCUGACGAAAGUCGGGCUAAUACUGGAUAGAGCGACGGAAGCCGUAACGGUUUUUUCGGGAAAGGGAGCUCGAUAAGAGCCCUCGCUGUAAGAUGAGCCUGCGUCUGAUUAGUUAGUUGGUGGGGUAAUGGCCUACCAAGACGAUGAUCAGUAGCUGGUCUGAGAGGAUGAUCAGCCACACUGGAACUGAAACACGGUCCAG